GGCACCUGCUCAGCGGUAGAGCACUCACCUAGCACGUGAGAGAUGCUGGGUUCAAUCCUCAGCACCA
rnacentral:tRNA from 1 species